GAGUUUGAUCGUGGCUCAGGAUGAACGCUGGCGGCGUGCCUAACACAUGCAAGUCGAGCGAAGCGGUUUCGAUGAAGUUUUCGGAUGGAUUCGGAAUUGACUGAGCGGCGGACGGGUGAGUAACGCGUGGGUAACCUGCCUCAUACAGGGGGAUAACAGUUAGAAAUGACUGCUAAUACCGCAUAAGCGCACAGGACUGCAUGGUCCAGUGUGAAAAACUCCGGUGGUAUGAGAUGGACCCGCGUCU
rnacentral:rRNA from 1 species